rnacentral:rRNA from 1 species
GGGUCAGUAGGUUGGUCGUGCCACCGGUACGUACUGGUCUCACUGAUUCCUCCUUCCUGAAGAACCGUAAUGCCAUUAAUUUGGUGUUGCGGGGAAACAGGACUGUUACUUUGAAAAAAUUAGAGUGUUUAAAGCAGGCUAACGCUUGAAUACAUUAGCAUGGAAUAAUGAAAUAGGACGUGCGGUUCUAUUUUGUUGGUUUCUAGAGUCGCCGUA